rnacentral:tRNA from 2 species
GCCCCCGUAGCCCAACUGGCAGAGGCAGGCGACUUAAAAUCGCCACAGUGUGGGUUCGAAACCCACCGGGGGCA